UACGUAGGGUGCAAGCGUUGUCCGGAAUUAUUGGGCGUAAAGAGCUCGUAGGCGGUUUGUCGCGUCUGCCGUGAAAGUCCGGGGCUCAACUCCGGAUCUGCGGUGGGUACGGGCAGACUAGAGUGAUGUAGGGGAGACUGGAAUUCCUGGUGUAGCGGUGAAAUGCGCAGAUAUCAGGAGGAACACCGGUGGCGAAGGCGGGUCUCUGGGCAGUAACUGACGCUGAGGAGCGAAAGCGCGGGGAGCGAACAGGA
rnacentral:rRNA from 1 species